rnacentral:rRNA from 1 species
UGGGGAAUAUUGGGCAAUGGGCGAAAGCCUGACCCAGCAACGCCGCGUGAAGGAAGAAGGUUUUCGGAUUGUAAACUUCUGUCCUCAGGGAAGAAAAAAAUGACGGUACCUGAGGAGGAAGCCCCGGCUAACUACGUGCCAGCAGCCGCGGUAAUACGUAGGGGGCGAGCGUUGUCCGGAAUGACUGGGCGUAAAGGGCGCGUAGACGGUUGUCUAAGUCUGGAGUGAAAGUCCUGCUUUCAAGGUGGGAAUUGCUUUGGAGACUGAAUGACUUGAGUGCGGAAGAGGUAAGUGGAAUUCCCAGUGUAGCGGUGAAAUGCGUAGAGAUUGGGAAGAACACCAGUGGCGAAGGCGACUUACUGGGCCGUAACUGACGUUGAUGCGCGAAAGCGUGGGGAGCGAACA